rnacentral:sRNA from 1 species
GUGAGCAGACUGGCCUCCCAGCACCUCGUGGCCAUCCUGGACCCACCCCGUGCUGGCUUGCGUGAGUGGCUUUUGCUUAAGGUGGCGGCACGGGAAGGAGGACACAUGGGGUGGCUUACCAUGUUGUGCACUCUCUGGCUGUGGGGACCCAGCUGGUGUUUGUCUCCUCAGAUUCCAAGGUGAUCCUCGCCAUCCGCAGAGCUGAGAACCUCAGGCGGCUGCUGUACGUCUCAUGCAACCCCCGGGCAGCCAUGGGCAACUUUGUGGACCUCUGCAGAGCCCCAUCUAACCGAGUGAAGGGCAUUCCCUUCCGGCCGGUCAAGGCUGUGGCAGUGGACCUGUUCCCGCAGACCCCGCACUGUGAGAUGCUCAUCCUGUUCGAGAGGGUGGAGCACCCCAAUGGCACAGGGGUCUUAGGGCCCCACAGCCCUCCAGCUCAACCCACACCAGGACCCCCAGAUGACACCCCACAAGAAACUGGGGCCUUCCCCUCAUCCUAGGCCCAGGACCCAUUAUGGUGACGGGAGCUGAAGGGCUCCCAGGGCCCCAGGGGCAGGGAAGGCAUGGCUUGCUGGCCAGGAUAUUCAGAGGUAGGCAGCCAAAGGGCACAGAACCCUGUACCCCACCAGGAUUGGUCUGCUGCUAGGGGCCAGGGGCUCUGACCAGGAAGGCAGGUGGGCUCCUACAGCCUGUUCCCCAUCCCCAGGGCCUUUGUGGACUAGCCAAGGCCGUGAGGGCCAGAAUAAACAACUGCUCAACAAA